GUAGCACUUGGCUCCAUGGCCCUAUUGGCUUUUUUUGGCCACACAUCUGCUAAAGCCAUGGGGAAAGCAAUGCAGGGCAGGAUGAGCAAAACUGGGGCAAUUUUUUUUUAAACACUUGAGAUUAUUUUUUUUCCUCCAAGAAAAAUUCAGUUUUGCAGAGAAUAGAACUGAAUUUGACUAAGUUUUUGGGUUUGGUUGUGGUUUUUUUUUUUUUUUUAAUGGCACAAACAUUUUUGAUCUUUGGUUAUAUGAUGUUGAUUUCUUCCCCUCCCCAUCUCACCUCCUGGGCCCUGGAAGAUGAAGUUUCCUUUAAAAUGCUGAUGUCUAUGUCAGUUAAAGUAAUGUUGCCUGAGAGCUGUGACUGCAUCUCUGAGCUUGGCCCUGAGAAGGAAUGGAGACAUCCGCACUGCCAGAUGCAGCCAGCUGUGCACCCCACAGGAGGAACACAUUUCAUUGAGCUGGGGCUUUGGCGAUGACGGGCUCAUCCGACGGCGGAUGCGGUGUCGGCGUCGGGAUCCUGGGAGGCUUUCCUGGGGAGCAGGCUGUCAUCGCCCCGGGAGCACCGAGCAGCUCCUCACAGCAUGGGAUGGAUUGCAGCAGCCUAACAAGAACACAUCGCUCUCAGGGCUGCAACCAAUAUACGAGUCCAUUGGCAGCAGAUGCCUUUUCCCAUAUGCCUGGCUCUGGGCUGUGUCACCUCUGGCAGUGGGAAAUUACUACUCUUCCCUGCCGUGGGAGAAGGAGAAGAUUGCUUAAAACAAUUUUGAAUUACGCAGUCAAGAAGUGUUUCUGCUAGAGGAACAUGUUCAGAACGUUCAGCUGUGACUCGCUCCUGUAGUUCCACAAAUGCAGCGUUCAGUUUAAUAUGUGAGACUCAUAACCAGCUCACACAGUGCAAUAGUUCACUUCAGUUUGAAGAAAAAAAAAUUCUGCUGGAAGCACAGGCAAGUAGCAGUGUCAAUUUUUCAUUAACCUACAGCCACUGUCUCUGUAGACUUACAGCUAUAAGUAAGAUUACUGUUAUA
rnacentral:lncRNA from 1 species